UACGGUGUCUCACCUGGGUCCUGCGUUCAGGAUGAGGAUCAAGGUCUUCGUAGACGUAACAAGUGAGAGUGGACAAACUUUGGAAAGUGUCACUCAGAGAUAUCGGAUGCGGGUGAUUACCUAACCUGCCAUUAUUUACGUGAAGACCGGUAUCUGGCAAGCAUCCCUUCUGUCUAUAGUCCUUCGUCAUAUCUCCCAGGAGAGCUCUACUCAUACCACCAUAGCAAUGCUUCCUUUUGCUGUCCACCACCAGGUUCCAGAGCACCGUAUAUUUGCCCCAAGGAACAAUACGUUUAACAGUGCCACAGACAAUAACGGAAAACAGAAGACAAUUCUUCAUUUGUCCCCGGCCGUUACACAUCAGUCAAGGCCAUUUUAACAACACCCCCACCCCUCCCAAGUCAUUGGGAAUAUUGUUGGGUUUGUAUGUAUGUGUGUCCACGUGUUUCUCCUUUUGCCUCACAUAUUUUUACCAAAGUUUUGACACCUUUUCACUCCCAUGGUUAGAUUACACUUCUGCCUUGUUCAUUAAGGAACAUCUUUCUUUGACUGCUGGAACUUUUCACACCUCCCCAGCCCCGCCCUCCUAUGCUAAUUUUAACCCUUUGGGCCUUCCAUACGGAAUGGACUUUCUGCGCUUGUGUUUCUGUGUUUGCACCGCUGCCCUUUGCUGGAUGGAAUAAGUCAGACUUACCGAUGUGUCUGCCAUCUUGUUCCCAUUUACGCAACGUGCACUGUAAAUGGUUGCGCCGCAAGUUGUCCUUACGCAUCACCAGCUGUGCUCUACCUGCCACUUCGUAGCUCUGUUCCCCACCCCGUCCAGAAGCGACAUGAUGUGCUACUUGAAUACUCUCCCUACUUAGAAAUCACAAGGCUGCAACCACCUCAUUCAGUUUUGGAAAAGGGGGCUGGUGUGCCAAGCCCACAAUGUGUGCGUGAUGCAGAAUUUCUUGCAAAGGCACAACUAUUGUCUCAUCCUCUGCAAUUAUCCCCUCACGUCCCGUUGAUCUCCUGGCAAUCCAGAGGCCAUGAAGAAAAAUAUGCUGGGAUAGCUUGAAAGAAAAGCAUUCUUUUUUCACUUCAAGGGGAACAACUAAAAUAGGAGGAUGAGAAUAUAUUUUUUAAAAAAUCUAUGGGAGUGGGGCAAAAAUCCUCAGGAUUUUGCUAUGCACAUUUUUGGUUGGAAUGAUAACUCAGGCAGUCGGAGAAGAAGGAGAAUUUCAGGUCAUCUCCGAGCUCUUAAUAAUGAAGGAUGAAAGCCAACACAGGAUUAGGCCUUUGAGACGCUCUCUUUUCUUUUCUCGCUCCUGUUUUCAUUUCUUUUUUUUUAACAUUACUUUCAUUUUGGAAUGUGUGUGUUUUUAUAUGUGUGUGUACAUAUAUAUAUAUAUAUAUAUAUAUAUUUGAUGUGUGGGUGGGCGUGAGACUGUGCGUGUGGUCCUGCGAACCUUGUUGUGUUUUAGAGAAAGGGGUUUCAUUUUCACCUCACCUCCUCGUUCACGUGCAAUAGGACUGGAUGAAGAAAAAGAGGAGGCUGUGAGGGAGAAGAUAAACUACGAUUAAUCUUGGGCAGGACUGGACAGAUGAGUCAGACACAUGUACACACGACCACCACCUAGGGCUGAGAUAACCUUCCUGCCCUGCUUGUGGGGUGAGCUCUUAUGCCAGGGGACCACAAGAAGUUCAGGGCACAGGGCAGAUGUGCCCUUCCAAGCCAUUGUUUGGGGCUUUGGCCCUUCAGAGCUAAGGGGAAUGCCGAAAAAUAGGGGCGGUCGGAGCCCAGCUGCAUCACACUUUAUUUUUGUAUAUUUUGGUUGGAGAAGGAUAAUACUGCUUGAUGCACUUAUGAAUUCCCUCGCCCCACCUCUCCCAAAGCUUUCUCCCCCCCCCAUCUUGAGGUUUAGCUCUGCCCUCCUUCCAUUUCCACACAAGCUAAACUGUGUUCACACUACCUCAGCCAUUUUCUGCAAACUUGUAAAAAGAUGGAAAGCCAAUGAGGGAUGAGAUCAACAGCAAACCAUUGUUUCCUCAUGACGUGUCCUCACUGCCUAUCUCAGAAUAAGAGCACAGCCAUCUGAUGUUGGAACAUGAUUUCCUGUCUGAAGCAGGAAAUGGGCAGACCCACUACAGGAGUACUAAGGAAGACCAAGAGGAAGGGGGAGGGUGGCUUUCCAUCUUCUUUCCAUCCCACCCCAAGAGCUGGUUGCCCCUCCACAGCAAAGAAAAAGGAACCACCUCACUCCUGCACCCAAAGUUGACAGUCAAAUGAAUUGUUGUCAGUGGGACCAAGAUUGGUCGUGACAUGGAAUGUUGCUUUUUCAGGGGAAGGGGGAAUGAGGAAAAUGUGUUAGCACUUUAAAUAUGUGUCCCAAAAUUAAAUCCUGGCUGUAUUAAGUGAUUCCAAACA